CCUACGGGUGGCAGCAGUGAGGAAUAUUGGUCAAUGGACGCAAGUCUGAACCAGCCAUGCCGCGUGCAGGAAGACGGCUCUAUGAGUGGUAAACUGCUUUUGUACGAGGGUAAACGCAGAUACGCGUAUCUUUCUGAAAGUCUCGUACGAAUAAGAAUCGGCUAACUCCGUGCACGCAGCCGCGGUAAUACGGAGGAUUCAAGCGUUUGCCGGAUUUCUUGGGUUUAAAGGGUGCGUAGGCGGGCGGAGAAGUUAGAGGUGAAAUCCCGAGGCUCAAAUUCGGAAUUGCCUCUGAUACUGUUCGGCUAGAGAGUAGUUGAGGUAGGCGGAAUGUAUGGUGUAGCGGUGAAAUGCUUAGAGAUCAUACAGAACACCGAUUGCGAAGGCAGCUUACCAAGCUACUUCUGACGUUGAGGCACGAAAGCGUGGGGAGCAAACAGGAUUAGAUACCCUAGUAGUC
rnacentral:rRNA from 1 species